rnacentral:rRNA from 1 species
AUUGAACGCUGGCGGCGUGCUUAACACAUGCAAGUCGAUCGGUAACAGGUGUAGCAAUACAUGCUGACGAGAGGCGGACGGGUGAGUAAUGCUUGGGAAUCUGCCUAUUAGUGGGGGACAACCCGGGGAAACUCGGGCUAAUACCGCAUACGCUCUACGGAGGAAAGCCGGGGACCGCAAGGCCUGGCGCUAAUAGAUGAGCCCAAGUCGGAUUAGCUAGUGGUAGGACGGCCUACCAAGCGACAAUCCGUAGCUGGUCUGAGAGGACGACCAGCCACACCGGAACUGAGACACGGUCCGGACUCCUACGGGAGGCAGCAGUGGGGAAUAUUGGACAAUGGGGGCAACCCUGAUCCAGCGACGCCGCGUGGGUGAAGAAGGCCUGCGGGUUGUAAGGCCCUUUCGGUGGGGAAGAAAAGUCUCGACCUAAUACGUCGGGACCUUGACGUAACCCACUAAAGAAGCACCGGCUAACUCUGUGCCAGCCGCCGCUGUAAU